UACACUGAAGUCCAGCUGAGACACCAGCUU
rnacentral:piRNA from 1 species